ACACAUGCAAGUCGAGGGGCAGCAUGGUCUUAGCUUGCUAAGACUGAUGGCGACCGGCGCACGGGUGAGUAACACGUAUCCAACCUGCCGUCUACUCUUGGACAGCCUUCUGAAAGGAAGAUUAAUACAAGAUGGCAUCAUGAGUCCGCAUGUUCACAUGAUUAAAGGUAUUCCGGUAGACGAUGGGGAUGCGUUCCAUUAGAUAGUAGGCGGGGUAACGGCCCACCUAGUCUUCGAUGGAUAGGGGUUCUGAGAGGAAGGUCCCCCACAUUGGAACUGAGACACGGUCCAAACUCCUACGGGAGGCAGCAGUGAGGAAUAUUGGUCAAUGGGCGAGAGCCUGAACCAGCCAAGUAGCGUGAAGGAUGACUGCCCUAUGGGUUGUAAACUUCUUUUAUAAAGGAAUAAAGUCGGGUAUGGAUACCCGUUUGCAUGUACUUUAUGAAUAAGGAUCGGCUAACUCCGUGCCAGCAGCCGCGGUAAUACGGAGGAUCCGAGCGUUAUCCGGAUUUAUUGGGUUUAAAGGGAGCGUAGAUGGAUGUUUAAGUCAGUUGUGAAAGUUUGCGGCUCAACCGU
rnacentral:rRNA from 1 species